GUUUGGUUCCCUCGCAGCAUAUCUUGUAAACCCCGCCAGGCCCGGAAGGGAGCAACGGUAGCAAGCACUGUGUGUGCCGAGAUCGAGCUAAAUGAG
rfam:Gammaproteobacteria bacterium RIFCSPHIGHO2_12_38_15 rifcsphigho2_12_sub10_scaffold_68, whole genome shotgun sequence.